ACUCAAAUGAAUUGACGGGGGCCCGCACAAGCGGCGGAGCAUGUGGCUCAAUUCGACGCAACGCGAAGAACCUUACCAGGGCUUGACAUGCGGGGUGAAGCCGGUGAAAGCCGGUCCUCCUUCGGGAGCCCGCACAGGUGCUGCAUGGCUGUCGUCAGCUCGUGCCGUGAGGUGUUGCCUUAAGUGGCGCAACGAGCGCAACCCCUGUCCGAUGUUGCCAGCGGGUCAUGCCGGGGACUCAUCGGAGACUGCCGGUGCCAAACCGGAGGAAGGUGGGGAUGAGGUCAAGUCAUCAUGGCCCUUAUGUCCUGGGCUGCACACAUGCUACAAUGCGAGGUACAGAGGGCUGCGAUCCCGCAAGGGGGAGCGAAUCCCAAAAAGCCUCGCUCAGUUCGGAUCGGGGUCUGCAACUCGACCCCGUGAAGUCGGAGUCGCUAGUAAUCGCGGAUCAGCAACGCCGCGGUGAAUACGUUCUCGGGCCUUGUACACACCGCCCGU
rnacentral:rRNA from 1 species